AGUGAACGCUGGCGGCAGGCCUAACACAUGCAAGUCGAGCGGAAGCGCGGGGGCCACCCUGGCGGCGAGCGGCGGACGGGUGAGGAAUUCGUAGGAAGCUGCCCUUUUGUUGGGGCUAAGGUAGGGUCACUUACGCUGAUAUCGCAUCGGUCCUUCGGUUGAACGGGAGGGACCGCAAGGCCUCACCGAGUAUGAUGACACGACGACGCAUUAGCUAGUUGGUGCGGUAAAGGCCUACCAAGGCGACGUUCGGUAGCCGCUCUGAGAGGCUGAUCGGCCACACUGGAACUGAGACACGGUCCAGACUCCUACGGGAGGCAGCAGUAGGGAAUAUUCGACAAUGGGCGAAAGCCUGACGCAGCCACGCCGCGUGAGUGAAGAAGGUCUUCGGAUCGUAAAGCUCUGUUGUCAGGAAAGAAAACACGUGUGCUAAUACAUGCGGGGCAUGACGGUACCGGAAGAAAAAGCAACGGCUAACUUCGUG
rnacentral:rRNA from 1 species